rnacentral:rRNA from 1 species
UUCGUAGGGUGCAAGCGUUGUCCGGAUUUAUUGGGCGUAAAGAGCGUGUAGGCGGCCACACAGGUCUGCUGUGAAAACUCGAGGCUCAACCUCGAGCUGUCGGUGGAAACCGUGUGGCUAGAGUCCGGAAGAGGAGAGUGGAAUUCCCGGUGUAGCGGUGAAAUGCGCAGAUAUCGGGAAGAACACCCGUGGCGAAGGCGGCUCUCUGGGACGGUACUGACGCUGAGACGCGAAAGCGUGGGGAGCGAACAGG